UACUGCUCAGUAACACGUGGACAACCUACCCUGAGGAGGGGGAUAACCCCGGAAAACUGGGGAUAAUACCCCAUAGAUUAGGGUGGCUGGAAUGCCCCCUAGUUCAAAGGUCCGCCGCCUCAGGAUGGGUCUGCGGCCGAUUAGGUUGUUGUUGGGGUAACGGCCCAACAAGCCUUUGAUCGGUACGGGUUGUGGGAGCAAGAGCCCGGAGAUGGAUUCUGAGACACGAAUCCAGGCCCUACGGGGCGCAGCAGGCGCGAAAACUUUACAAUGCGAGAAAUCGUGAUAAGGGAACCCCGAGUGCCCGUAAAUUCGGGCUGUCCGCCAGUGCAAAAAACUGGUGAAGAAAGAGCCGGGCAAGACCGGUGCCAGCCGCCGCGGUAAUACCGGCGGCUCGAGUGGUGGCCACUAUUACUGGGCUUAAAGCGUCCGUAGCUUGGUUGUUAAGUCUCCUGGGAAAUCCAUCGGCUCAACCGAUGGGCGUUCAGGAGAUACUGGCAACCUAGGGACCGGGAGAGGUGAGAGGUACUCCAGGGGUAGGAGUGAAAUCCUGUAAUCCUUGGGGGACCACCUGUGGCGAAGGCGUCUCACUAGAACGGCUCCGACAGUGAGGGACGAAAGCUGGGGGAGCAAACCGGAUUAGAUACCCGGGUAGUCCCAGCUGUAAACGAUGCGCGUUAGGUGUAUCGGUGACCACGAGUCACCGAGGUGCCGAAGGGAAACCGUGAAACGUGCCGCCUGGGAAGUACGGUCGCAAGGCUGAAACUUAAAGGAAUUGGCGGGGGAGCACCACAACAGGUGGAGCCUGCGGUUUAAUCGGACUCAACGCCGGGAAGCUCACCGGAUAAGACAGCUGAAUGAUAGCCGGGUUGAAGACUCUGCUUGACUAGCUGAGAGGAGGUGCAUGGCCGUCGUCAGUUCGUACUGUGAAGCAUCCUGUUAAGUCAGGCAACGAGCGAGACCCGGCC
rnacentral:rRNA from 1 species